GUUUCUGAUCUAUGAGAAAUGUAUUUACAUGAUUAUACAUAUAUAUAAUUCUCAUUUUUACUAAAAAGAAUAAACAAUAUAUAUACUUGAUUCGAAAAAACAAAAAUAGUGCUCAUCAUUUGGUGAACUAUUUUAUCAAUCAAGCAGUGCAAUUGAUGAUAAAGUGAUUUUAAAUUUCGUUCUCUGGCUUCUUCAAUGUUUCUGGCAAACAUUGAAAUGCUUUUGCAUGAGGAUAUAAAAACCUCAAUUUUAUUAAAAAAAAAAAAUUAUUGGAAAAUAAAAAGAAAUAUAAUGCUUGUUUUCAGAACAAGAGUGAAAAAAAUAAUAACAUUGUUUUUUUUUAUUUUGCGGCGUAUAUAAUUUGCAUUUGGUGAAAUAGUACAUUAAUUCGAGGAAAGCAAUUCAUGGUAAAGCAAUUUCAGGAGAAUUUCAUGCUAUGCCUACAUGCAAAGCAUAUCUCCUUGACUUGCAUUGAUGAGCUGUAAAUGAACUCGAUCUAGAUGAUUAGUUUUUUUUAUAGAUAUAUAUAUGCCACAAAUUUCAUUCUCAAAUAGGCUGUUAAUUUCACUUGACUUUUAAAUGUUCACAGAUGUACAUGUACAAUUUUCAUUUGUGAUAGAUUUUUAAUAUACGUGCAUAUCGUGCACAUCUGAAAAGGAAUUAUAUUGCAUAAUUUCGAUUCAAAGAGUUGAAUAUUGAUCACGGAAUUCAUUUUCAUGUAUGCAUGCAAGACACGCCUGAAAUAAAAAUAAUUAAUUUUGAUGUAGUUUCAACGGAGUUGAAUUUCAAUGUUCAUGGUUUUUGUUUUGAUAGAUGCAUGAAACUACGCUUCAAAAUGCAAUUAAUGAUGUUACUAUGAUAGAGGUAUUAAUCAUGCAUGGUAUGUACAGAUUUUAUAAAAAAUUGUAUUACUAAUACAAUUUUUAUAUGACAAUAUGAACUUAAUCUUUAGAAUUAAUAGCUUAAUUCCAUUUGUUUUGUUUUGAUCAUGAAGCUGAUUUACGUACGGUGCAUGUAUACAGUGGCAUUUUCCGGGCCGGGCCUUCGAGAGCCUAGUCCAAGCCCGCCCAUUAAGUUCCGGCAAUCCACCCCAUGAUCAGGUUGAUUAAGACUAAUAACAUGUUAACUCAUCAUUUCAUGUGGUAUUUGAAAAGCACGAUAAGGGCUUGUUUGGUUCAAGGGUGGAAUUGGAAUGGAUAAUGGAAUGGGAAUGAAUUGGAAUGGUAAUUGGAAUGACCCACUCCCUCAAAACGUUUGGUUUAUUUGUGGAUUGGAAAUUGGAAUCAGUUAUUCACAUUUCAUUGUUUGGUUCGUAUAAAUUAAAAAAAUUAUAUGAUACUAUAAUACUAAUUUUACUCUCAAAUAUAAAUUUAUAUUAUUUAAAAUUUAUGAAAAAUAUAAUACUAUUCUCUAAUAAGUUUUUCAAAAAAAAUAUCAAAUUUAUUUUUAAAAACUUUUAUUGAUGUGGGUUAGGGAUANAUUUAAAAUUUAUGAAAAAUAUAAUACUAUUCUCUAAUAAGUUUUUCAAAAAAAAUAUCAAAUUUAUUUUUAAAAACUUUUAUUGAUGUGGGUUAGGGAUAGGGUUUUGAGAGAGGAUAGAGUUUUUUUUUUUUUGAUGAGAAAGGGGUGGAGAGAAGGAGGGUGAGAUGGUCACAUGGACUUCGAGAACUUAGUGGGCUUCCGGAAUGAAAUCUCAAUCCGAGCUAGAAGACCGGAAUCAAGUUGAAGGCUAAUGGGUCAUUCCCAUUCCAGUCCGGAAUAGAAAUCUCAAACCGAUUUAUGCGAUCCAAACAAACUUAACCGGAUUUGAUCAAACCGAUUUCCAUUCCAUAUCCAAAAUGGAUGAACCAAACAAGCCCUAAGAGUAUAGUUGCUAACGAGCCAAAUAUAAGCGUACUAGGACCGGCUCGUAUUUGCUUGCUUAUUAAACGAGCCGAAUACGAGCUGAUUCGUUAGAAUAUCAAGCUGAAAAAUUCAAUUCAUAUUCAACUUGUUUAUUAACGAGCCAAACACAAGCGAGCUCGCGAAUAAUAAGUUAGAUUGUCAGCUCUAUUAUUGAGUGAAAAGUUGCAAGAAAAUUAGAAUCUUAACCUAAAGACUAAAAUUUACAAAAUACAAGUUUCUUUACAUUUGGGUUGGCCUAAAAUUCAAAUAGUAGAAAUUUGUAUUAUAUACAUUUGAGAUAUAUCGAGUCAAACACGAGCAAGUUGACACCAGCUCGUAUUCGAAACGUUAAAUAUGCUGACUUCAGGCAUCUGACCAAACACGCUGCCGCUAGACUCUCUUGGGUUGAUUUCCAUCAUGAUUAACAAAUGACAUGGGCUUUAUCCGGCCCAAAUUCAUAUUCCCUGGGUUGGCAACGUUGGUCCAAUAUUUGGGACAAAUAUAUAUAUGUUUUUUUUUUUUUCUUAGAGAUAGGUAGCAUGUUAUCCGUUUCGUUUAUUUUAUUUAAAAAUAAACUUAGCUAAAAAUGUAAAUCAACUAGUAUUCGAAUUUGAAACCUCGGGUACCAACCACCAAACCCUUUACCACUUGCGUUAGGUAUGAUCGGUCACAAAUAUAUAUGUUAUAGACCCAACUUUAUUAAGAUAAUGGGCGAAAAGAGUUGCAUGGAAAGUAUUAUGUUCAGAUAUCAGAAUCCAAUUAUUACAACACCUUUAUAAAAAUAAGGGAAAACUUCAAAAACCCUCCAUGUAGUUUCGUAGUUUCUCACUUUGCUCCCUUGUGGUUUAAAAUGUAUCAAAUUGCCCUCCUGUGGUUUCGUUUUUAUCUUUUUGGUAGCUUUUUCGUUAAUAUUUCAUUAAAUUAUAUACAAAAAACUUCAGAUGCCAAUCUAGAUUUAUCAAAUAUUCACUUUAGUAUCCUUUAAAUUAAUUUUAUCACUGAUUUAAAAAAAAAAAAAUAAUGAAAUUGAUAAGAAAAAGAGAAAAAAGAAACCACAGGGGAGCAAAUUGAUACAUUUUAAGUCACUGGGGGGCAAAGUGAGAAACUACGAAACCAUAUGGAGGGUUUUUAAAGUUUUUCCUAACAAUAAUUUUUUUAAAAAAAUUUUACACUUUCUCAAAACACAAUUCUUUCUAUAAUUCCAAAUAAAGAUUUACCCAUUAUUGGGUUUUCUUUUUUUGACCUUUUGGUUUGACACCCAUGGACCAUCCUAACCGUAGGUCAACAACCUAAUAUCCUAUCAAGCAGAAAAUAAAAUUAUGGAGAUGUUUGGCCUAGAUUCUCAAAAAUAAUUUUAAAGUCAAAAGUUAUUUUUCUUUUAAUAGAGAGUUUGGUAAUCUGUUUUUUAAAUUUUGAUUCUAAUUUUUAAAAUCAGUUUUCUAAUUUUAGAGUCUCAAAAUUAGAAGCAGCUAAUACCUACUUUUUGAAAUCUGAUCCUGAUUUUAGACUCAAAGUUUAAAUUUAAUUCUAAAUUUCAUAUUCAAAUUUUAAAUUUAGAUUUAAAUUUUUAAUUUUUAAAUUUUUAAAUUUUGAAUUUUAAAUGCAAAAUUUAAAUUUAAUAAAAAAAUUAAAAUUCUGAUUCAAUUUUUGAAUUCAGAAUUUUAACUUUUUAAAGUCAAAUUCAAAAUUUAAAUUAAAAUUUUAAAAUUAAAUUUAAUUAAAAAAUUAUUAUUUGUAAAUAGCAAAAAAAUUUUGCCAAACAAUUUUAUAAAGUCACUCUAGAAAAAUCGUUUUUUUGAUAGACUCGUCCAAAUGCUCGACAGCUUUUAAUCAAAAUUAAUAUUUCAAAUCAAAAUUAAUUAUGUAAAAAUUAGUUUUUCAGAAUUAGGCCAAAUAACUCAUGAAACACAGAACUUAUUGUUCCGAAAAAUAGAUACUUGCAAACUGUUCUAAAUAAUGAUGGUCACAAGCUGAGGGCGGCAAUCCAGCUCGCUGUUCGUGAGCCAGCUCGUAUUUGAUUUGAAAUCAGCUCGAGAUCUAAUCGUUCGUUUAAUAAGCGAGCCGAACACGAGCUGUAGUCAGCUGGCUCAUGUUCAGCUCAAUAACAGCUUGAAUACAUAUAUUUUAUAUUAUCUAAUUUUAUAUAUUUUAUAUUUAUAUAUAAAGUUAAAUUAUAUAAAACAUCUAUGUCAAAACCCGAUUUUAAACACUUUGCCACAAUAUAAAAUAAAAAAUAGUCACAUGAAGGUACGGUGUAAACUGAAAUGACAAAAUGAUCAUUUUGCCUCUCACCAUUUUUGGCAACGGGAGAAAAGCCCGAGGGUAUUUUUGGCAUUAAAAAAUAUAUAAUAAUAUUUUAUAAACGGAAUCCUAACGGAUUACUAAUGGCUGGGAGUGAAGUGAAUAUUUUUUAUUUUACAAGGGGACAAAAUGAUAGGGGGCGAAAGUGAAAAAUCGGGUUUUGACAGGAAAUUGUUUUGUAAUUAGCCGUUAAUUUUUAGUCCAAUCUAAAUAUAAAGCCCAACUCAAUUAUAAAAAAGCUCAUUGAUUUGGAAAGUUUCAACUAGUAGAUUAAAAUCUAAUGAGUAAGAUCUCAUAAAUUUAUUUUUUAUAUAUAUUCUUUUUGUUUAACUUAUUGUUCGUGAGCUAGUUCAUGUUCAGCUUGUUAAUAAACAAGCUGACCACGAGUCAAACUUUUUGCCUCGAUACUUUAGGGCUUGUUUGUUUCAACGUAAAUAGACUUGGAGUGGAAGUGGACUUUGAGUUGAAAUGGAGUUGGGAUGAAAAUUAGUUCACUUCUGCUGUUUGUUUCUAACUGUAGAAGUACAGUUCUGCGAGUUCUGUUGUUUGUUUGGUAGGAAGUAGAUGACGUAAAAAGUAUAGCUCUCCACUCCCGGUAUACUUACAUCCAAAGUGAUAUCAUUAUCUAUUUUGUAACUUAUAGUGAAUAAUAAAUUAUAAUAAAUAAAAAUUAAUAUAAUUAUUUAUGUAUAUAAUUAUAUAUAUAUAAUUAUAAAAAAAAAUUUAAAAAAAUUAUAUUAUUUGUUUGCAUAUAAAUUAUGAUAAUGCAACAAAUAAAAUUCUAAAGUUAAAAAAUUAUUAACAUUUAACAAAUUUAUUUUUCAUCAUUUUCUAAAUAUACAAAUUAAAUAAAAAAUAUAUUAAAGCUUACCUAAUCAAAUUUGAUCAUAUUUUAGAAGAGGUAAUUCUAACACAUUAAUCCAUUCUUAUUUUUUUUUCACUUCACCGGAAUUGAUUUCGCCCAUGGGAGGGCGAAGUCAAAUUCAUUAUUUUACGUGAACUGAACUUUCGGGCGUAAUAAAAUUACGGUAAAUCAAACAGCGGAAGUGGUUAGUUUUCACCGAAAUUCAUUUUCCCCGUCCCACUUCCACCCCACUUCUCUCGAAACAAACAGGCCCCUUAAUGAACUAACUUGUGUUCGGCUCGUAAACGAAACGAGUCCAACACAAGUCGGCCCAGCUCUCUCGUAUCCGGCUCGUUAACAACCCUAUCACAAGCUGAAAUGGAUUACUUGGGUGAUAUCAAACUACAAAUAGGUUGGAAAGUGGAAGUCACGAAUUUCCAAACCAGACCAGAAUAUGAGUGGACGCAAGCUCAGCCCAAUUGCUAACCUCUAAAAGUGGUUGAAAUUUGAACCUAAUUUCAUUGCUCAUUUGUUUAAUAUUGACUAAUCUUAGGAUUUGUUCUAGCUUGAGUAAAACGGCCAUAGCGUCCAAGGAAAAAUAAAAAAAUGUUAACUUGUUAAGGCUCAUUUGGUAUUAAAGCCUAUUUAAUACUAAUAAAAAAAUUUGAUUGCUUAUUUAUUUUUAAAUAAAAUUAAAAAAUAUAUCGUAACUAUAUUUUUUUAUUAAAUACCAAAACAAAUAGAAUAUUUUUUCAAAUAUUAGCCAAGUCCUUCAAUUAUUGCUUGGACAUUUACAAUAUUUAAUCACUCGUGUUCAAAUCAACUGAUUAUUAGUUACCAAUAGGUGUGAUAGAGAUAUUUAAUUAAUCCUAUAUUUGAUAGAUUCGUUUGGAAAGAAAUAAAUUAUUUUGCAUAUAUAAUAUAUUAUUACAUGUUUUUUUUUUAAAAAAAUUCUAUAGAAAAGUGUAAUCAAACGACUAGAUGCCAUAAUGAUAAUAAAAAGAAUUGGCCAUGUCUUGUCCUUUAUAUAUGCAAAAUAAUUUAAUAUGAUCAAAAUAUUUGAAACUUUUAAAAAGCAUAUUUUGUAGUAUUUCAAAAUUAUAAUAUAAUCUAUCGAAUCAGUAUAAAAUAAACCGUCUAAAUCAAACGGCAUUUCUAAAAUAGGGUGUCUAAUUUUUAAAUUUAAAAUCAGAGUUAUUGAUUUUAUCUAAAUAGUGAAUAUAAUUUUUUAUUAAAAAUUCAAUCAAUUUAAAUUUUCUUACACCAUUAAACUAGUAAGUAUCCACAGUAAAAGUUAAAAAUUGUCAACUUUAAAAUCUUUUAGAUCAUAAGGUAAAUAAUAUCAAAAAAUAUAAAAUUUUAUUUUAAAAAAAAUUUAAAUACUCUAAAUUAUAUUUAACGAUAUAAAUUAUCAAUUUGAAAGAUUUACAUAAAAAAUAUUAUGAGUACGAAGGGAUCGUACUUAUAAGAGUAUAGUAGUUGGACUCUCUCCUCUCGAUCUCUCUCUAUAUAUAUAAUAUAUAUAGAAUCAUACUACUAUACGAAGCGAUAGCCGUACCUGCAAACAAAUAGGAGCUAUAAAAGGAAAUACAACAAUAUAGUAGCUGAACAUAUAUAUAUAUAUAUAUAUAUAUAUAUAUAUAUAUAUAUAGAACUAUAUUAUAUAUUAAAAAAAUUAUUUUUUCACUCGCAAUCGCACAUCUACACCAUGUGCAGGACGUUUACUGCAGGGCUCCAAAUUGGCAGGAUCUUAUUUGUAUACAAAAAUUAAUAGGACAGUGAUGUAUGUAAGUAUGAAUCAUAAUAGGUUAAUUAGAUUAAUUAGGUUAUUAGAUUAGUUAAUUAGUAUAUUAAUGAUAAUAUAUUUUAUAUAGGGCCUAACAGUAGAUAGCAAUACAGUGUGAAUCAUAAUAGGCGGCGAGUAGUGGAAGAAAGGAUAAUAUUAUUUAUUUUUUAUUUGUAACUAUUCAUUAUUUUUUUAAUUUUAUUCUAUUUAUCUAAACGUUAUUUUUUUUAUUUUCGAUAAUAAUUUAAUUUUUUUCUUAAAUACUAAAUUGAUCGAUUCCAAAUUUAACCAUGAACUUAUAACUACCGAAAGUUUUGAAAAGUUGAUAGACAAUUCUCUUAAAAAAAUAAUAAAAUUAAUAUCUUACCGCUGAUUAAGAGAGAUCUUUCUCUCUCUGUCGCCCCCAAAUUCCCAGAUCCGGAAUCACACACUCUCAUUUGCAGAUCCAAGCCCUAGGCCCCUGCUCCAAUGGCGGAGUCGCCCUCGCCCCUCCCGAUUCCCAACGAGCACCACCACGGCACGGCGCUGCUCCGGGAGAUCGCGGUGGACUACUGCCCCGAGGCGUGCGACCACUCCCCGGCGGCGUCGGAGAUCCGCGUCGUCUUCGACCACCGCGGCGGCGCUCGGUGGCGCUCCCGCUCCCGCUUCCGCUUCGGCACGUUCGGCGCCCUCAUCCGCGGCCCCGGCGGCGACACGAGCGGCCUCAACUUCAACCUCUACCUCUCCUCCCUGGAGGGCGACAAGUCCCAGGACGAGAUCGACUUCGAGUUCCUCGGCAACGACCCCUCCGCCGUCCAGACCAACUUCUACACCGCCGGCCUCGGCCGCCGCGAGCGCAUCCACCCGCUCGGCUUCCACGCCGCCGACGGCUUCCACGAGUACCUCAUCAAGUGGGCGCCCCAUCUCAUCGAGUGGCUCGUCGACGGCGCCGUCCUCAGGAGGGAGGAGCGCAGCGCCGCGCACCAGCCCUGGCCCCUCAAGCCCAUGUUCCUCUACGCCUCCGUCUGGGACGCCAGCUACAUCGACGACGGCCGCUGGACCGGCAGCUACGUCGGCUCCGACGCGCCCUACGUCUGCCUCUACCGCGACGUCAGGGUUCCGAUCGACAACGCCGUGGCCGAGGAAGGCGAUGCCGCCGCCGAAGCAGCAGCAGCAGCAGCAGCAGAGGCCGAGAAACAAAAUGUAAGUUGAGAUCUCUCUACCUUCUCUUAUGUCUGAGUCGUAUUCCGGAGGAUUAAAUGCUUCUCUUUGUACAUCAACUUAUUUAAGGGACGAUUAUAGUAUCUUACCUACAUCAUCCCGUUCCUUUUUGUGAUGUUCGAAGAUAUAAUUCAUCAAAAAGUUGAUGUACAAGUAUUUAGAUGCUAUUUGUGUUUUUGAGUUGUUGUUGUUGUUGUUGUUGUUCUUGUUCUUGUUGUAUUGAAUUCUGGUUAGUGACAAUAAUGUGAUUGUUCUGUUGUUGGUUAUCUCACAAUUGCAAUAAGCAAAUUAUGGGCCAUGUUGUGUUCAAAUCUUAAUUCAUUACAACCUCUGGCUUGAUCUUUCUAAAUUUUUGACUAAAUAGUACCGUAGCCCGGAUAUGGGGCAAAAAUGUUGUGGUUGAUGCUGCGAAAAUGACUGAAGUGUUGUGGUGCCAUUGUCGGAUAGGAAUUUGAAUUAAAAAUUAUAAUAAAUUAAAGUUUGAGAAUCAAAGUGACGCCUGCUUUAUAAUGCGAGAAUCAAAAAUAUGAUUUAUCUGUAGAUGUCAGACAACUUUAAAUACCCGUUUUGUGGUUUACUGUAUUUUUAACUUAAUACUUUGUGGUUUUAACUAUAUUGUCUAAGUAACUUAUAGUUUUAUUUUUCGUUGUUUUCUCACGCCUUCGGUGAACUUCUUCGUUAAAACUGUCGCGUGCCAUGCCCGUGCCGCACUCUGCACAUGUAUGUCGUGAAUCGUCGGUUUUUUGCCUUUGUAAGACAUCUCCGACUUUGUGGGGCGGCACGUGACGAUUUUAACGAAAAAGUUAACGGAAGGCGUAACAGAAAAUAAAUAUAGAAAUCACAUGUACUUAAAUAAUGUAGUUAAAACUACAUAAUACAAAACUAAAAAGGUGGUAAAUCACAGGAGAUAUAUGAAGUUUUCCUUAGAUUUAUUAUUAGAUCUGUACACUUUCUCGCUCUUUAACACUCUACAUUAAAUUUCUCGAUUAGCACAACUAGACACUCUUCAUUAAAUUUCUCGAUUCGCACAAGUAGAAUUUCUUUUGUCACCCUUCGGGCCACAGCAAAAGUCCAUCUCGGCUAAAGUGCAUAGACCCGUUGCGUGUACAAGAUCACCCUCCCACACAUGAAACUUCAAUAUUCAACCAAGUUUAUUGCUAUUAUAUAAUGCAAUAUAAUAGAUGAAAUACAAAUUGAUUAGUACCAAGAACAUAAAUAAUACCAACUAACCAAAUUUAAAGUAUUGAAUAUUUAACAUCUAUGCAUCAUUGCCAAAAAUAGAUACAUCUCUAUUUCAUCCUCUCACAAGUUCGGUUCCCAAAAAGCUAACCCCAAGACCAAGGUUGGCCAGCAAGUUAGGUGCAUCCCGUUUCGCCCAACGAACUCUCCUCAAUAGUGCUCCGCCCUCACCGCUAGCCACAAGGAUAUCACAAAUUCUCCCCGAACUUAGUCCAAUACGAGUAUAGCCGAGCGUCUCAUCUCCCCCGCGUUUCGCUCCCACGACUCAACCCGCACGCCGCAAGAGUCAAGGUCCAGACUUCGCAAUAUCGCAUGCCACGAAGAAUACUCAUAAACAUAAAUCCUUAUUUGCCAUCUCGUCUCAUACACCUUGCAGCGUCCACGGUCAUACUGCAUACGCGGUCUGCUUGCUCGCUCCAACGGCAUACAUAUGACAAGCCACCCAAGUGCGUGCUGUAAGCCAGCAUGACUCCCAGGUUCAGCGACUUAACGGGACACCCCACAUGCCUAUGCUUUCAGCGACUUAACGGGACACCCCGCAUGCCUAUGCUUCGCACUUUUUGCUUCGCAUCCAACUCGUAUGAACCGCGUGCCCCAUCGCUCCUAGCGAAAAAAGCCAACAAGCCCACACUGUGCUCUCGACCGCCCACAUGAUCCUCACUUUAUGGUGGUGCUCCGCGCCCUUGAUUUCCAUAGGUUCACAUUAUAAGGCUCCAUGCCAACAAGUCAAGCCUUGCUCCGCAUCGCUAGUCACCUGGCCUCUCCAUGGCUCAGCCAUGCCUGGUCGCUACCACCAUUGGUCUAGACUUCAAAGGUUUACUUUACGGAUGCAGAUACUGCUUGCUUGAUUAGGUUCCGCCUCUCGAGUCUUGUGAGCGCUACGCCCACAAAUCUGUCUUAAUAUAUCUCUAGAUUUGAUAUUAGAUAUUUUCUCUUUCUUGCUCUUUUCCACUUUUCAUUAAAUUUCUGGGUUAGCACAAGCAGAACUUAUCACUCAGGCCAUGUUUGGAUGCUUAGAUAAAAACUUUAUGGAAUUUUUAUUCUAUAGUUUUGGUCUACAUAAAAUACGAAAUUUUGUAACUCCAAAAUUACAGAAUUAGGGUUUAAUCUAUGUUAGAUGUUACUAAAAUUUGAUAAUCGACUUCAGUUCGGAACUUUGACUCGCUGACAGUUUCGCGGUGCGACCAAUUUGAAAAAUAAGUUGUGAAAAAAAAAUAAAUGUCUGUGGUGGAUAGCGGAGGGCUUGGGCUGGUACAGAUCGGAUCAGAUCCGAAACCCAUUAAAAAUUUUUCUUUCUCGUUUUUUAUCACAAAGGCGACAGAUCGUGGUUGGUUGUACUCGAACAUUAUAUUCCCUUUUCGAUAGUGAAGUUUUCUCCUCCCUCGUCCGUGAUUUUUUCCUGCAAAGAAUUUUUCACGUAAAUCUGUGUGUUUUUCUAUUUCUGUUUCUGAUUUGUUUAUUUUGUAUUCGUCAUUUUCGUUUCUGUUUGUGCGUUUGUCGUAACAAUCUAUGUAUUUUAAACUUACAAAAAAGGCAUUCAAAUAUUAUAUUGCAAAAUUUUACUUUAAAAUGCUAAAAGACUCAAAAAAAAAAAAUUCAAUACUCUUAAGAAAGUCCUGUGACUCUUUCCUGUUGGAACUACGGUCCUUUUAUUAAGGAGUUGAUUUGGAAGUGAUUUUAGAGGCUGUUUGGUUAUAUGUAGUUACAACUAUAUUAUAGUUGUAACUGUAUAUAGAUCUAAAUUUGAUAUUUGAUUUUAGAAUUAAUUUCAUACAUGUUCCUAUAAAUAUAGUGAAUUAUAAAUAUAUUCCUACAAAAUUCAACUUUUAUAUGUUGUCCACUUGUCCCUACAAAACUCCUAAUAUUUUCAAAUAUGACCCUUUGGUUUGUUACCGUUAAAGCAUUGGUUAUUUUAUAAGUGAAAUAAUUUUUUUUGCCAUCACAAGUAUGUCCCUCCAAAAAUUCCAACCCUUAAUUAAAAAAGGAUAAAAAUGUCAAUUUACCUCAUUAACUAACUAAGGUCAAGUAUUUUACCUAUGGUUAAUUAUUUUUUUCUAACGGAGAGGCAUAUUUGAAAACAUUAGGACUUUCACAAAACAACAUAUGAAAAUUAAACUUAAUAUAAAUAUAUUUGUAAUUCACUAUAUUUACAAAGAUCUGUAUGCAAUUAAUCCUUAAUUUUAUAUAUUUGAAAUCUAACCAAUCAAAUUUCAAGAAGCCUCAUAAAGUGCUUUCUUAGGAGUUUUUUUUUUUUUUUUUUUUUUGAGAGAGAUAGGUAGCACGCUACUCGCUUCGUUUAUUUCAUUUAGAAAUACACUUAGCUUGAAAUGUGCUUCUUAGGAGUUAAACUUCUAUUUAUCCAUAUUUCUUGGUUGCGCGAGCCGAAUCGGGAGCAAGAGUUGAAGCUGGCGCGGGAACAGUAGGAGCUCCAACUCGCCGAAUAAGCUACCACAAUACCUAUCCUGCUCUUUGGAAAAAUCGAACACAUGAUGUUCCCUUCGAUCUAUUUCUUGAUUUCCCCAUGAAUUGUAUGCUUAUGACAAUAGCAACAUUUUAAAGGUUGGUAUUUUAUGUCCAAUAUCUCGAUCUAAGUAUGGAUGUCGGUAUGGUUGGAAUUGUAUGAGAAAGUUUAAUUGUAACAAUUGAAAUUACGCCUAAAUUGAUUGUAAUUUCAACUGCGGCAGUAGGAAAAGUAAUUUUAAAUAAAAAAUAAGCUUUUGGCCGCAUAUAUACUAUAAUAUAAUUAUUAUUUUUCAAUUGAAUAUGAUCAUACUCAAUAAAAUUAUUUUGUUUACAUCAAAUUAUAUUUGUUUAUAGCAAUAUCACUUUCAGACGCAAAUGGAUUGUCAUUUUCUCCAUUGGUUUAUUGUAGACACACUGAAUUAUUAUUCACUGAUAACCCAGACCAUAUACCUAUCAACUAAUAUUAUUAUUCCAAGAUAAAGGUGUAAAAUGAACCAAAUGAGUAUCUUUCUAUCUUUCUCUAUCUUUGAAAAGAAAAUAUCACCGAUGAUAAUUCAUAAGAACUUAAUAUGCAUGCACGUGAAAGAAAAGUACAAUUUAAGAUUAAGCAGUAUAAUUUAUUUGAAGGGUUAAUUGUAUACAGCUCCCUAUAAAUAUGUCGAAUCGUAAAUAUAUCUCUACAAAAUUUAACUUUUUAUAUUUAUUUCUGUGUAAAUCCUAAUAUUUUUAAAUAUAUCUCCAUUGUUAUGAUCCGUUAGAAAAAUAUGCUUAAUCAGAAGCAAAGUAUUUAAUCAUGAUUAGUGAAUAAGAUAAAUUGAUUUUUUUAUUCCUCUUAUAUAUUUGUGAUGGUGGAAAAAAAAAGAUAAUUGUUGAAAAUUUUUGGAAAGGUAUUUCUGCAUAUUUCUAAUAGUUGGAAUUUUUGUAGAGACGUAUUUGUGAUGGCAUAUCAUUUCACUUAUUUUCUGUUAAAACAUAAAUAAUACUCUAACUGUAACAGAUCAAAGACACAAAUAUGAAUAUCACUGAAUUUUUACAAUAAUAUAUAUAAAAAUUGAACUUUAUAAAAAUAUAUUUACUAUUUGAUAUAUUUACAAGGAGCUGUUUGAAAUUAAUCCUUUGAAAUAGAAUUUUUUGGACGGAACUUAAGAUCUCUCCUCUUGAAGAACAGCAACACCAAGUAUAUGACAAGAUCAAAUCAUCUAACGAAAAUAACUAGCAGUUUAUAGUUUAAAUUGUCUACAACUCCGUGCGUAAAAUUUUUUGGGUACCGAACAAUUUUGCCUCUCAUCUGUGACUAAAUCUGUAAUGAAAUUACCUUUGGAAAAUUUCUGCGCAUGGAAUUGUAAAAGAUAUUCUUUCAAAAUUUGUACUAAAUUAUUGUACUACAGCAGGUUGUGUGAUUAUGAUUGGAGAGAUCUGUUUAUGGAUUCCUUGGAAAAGAAAGGACACUAUCCUACUCCCAUAUGCAAGAGAGCUGAUAGGUUGGAGAUGCCCACCCCACUACUCCUUUUUGCUUGGUGAUGUCAUAAAAGGAGACCUCCCCCAAUCAAAGAAAGAAGUUGGUGGUGCAAAAAUAUACCUACUUCCUUUAUCCCUUAGUACAAAUUUAGGUUUUAAAUUUAAGGUGUGAGUUAUCAAUUAUCAUAUUUUUAGCCUACUGCGUUAGAUAUAGCCGGUCUGAUUUUGAUAUCGUAAGAAAAUUUUGAUUGAAGUUUAUCAAUUUUACUAACUAAAUUUAGUAAAUUUGAUUUAUUUCUAAUAAUGAUGGCUCUAGUACUAUAAUAUUUCUUUCACGCCAAAGAAGCCGCUUCUAUUGAUAAUUGAUAUGGUUGUAUUGAUAUGGAGUAGUUCUAAAGCAUUAUUCAAAUCAUUGCCUUUAUAGAUUGCUAAUAUGCUGGUAUUUUUGAAGUUUGAAAUCGUACAUAAAUUAGCUGGUAGUCUUAUUUAUGUAAUACAGAUCAACUUAUCAUAUGUUGUAUAGGUUUGAAUAGAGGUACCUAGAACAUUUUCUAUUAGGUUGAUUUCAUGGAUGUGCUUGUGGAAAGUAUUCUUUGUGAUAAAUAUAUUCUAUCUAUUGUUUUUUAUAUUAAGUUUUUGCAUUGAACAUUUUCUAUUGGUUUUUAUGUAUGUCAUUGAGAAACAAUUCAAAGAAAAAUGCAGAAUAUAUAUAUUGGCUUAAAUGGACUAGCAUCCUGUCCUGUGACGGGAGGUCAUAUUGGACCGAGUCAUGUUCAAAAUGACGCGAGGCUGUGUGAAUCGAGUCAUGUUCGAAGUGACGUUAGGCUGAUUGAGCCGAGUCAUAAUCGAGAUCCGUGAGCGCUGUAUCUGUACGCUUUAAGGGGCCGUUUGGUUGGAUGUAGUUGCAGAAACAGUGUAGUUGAAAAUACAUGCAGUUGCAAAUGCUGCAGUUAUAACUACACCUAGUUUGUUUGGUUUUACGCAGUUGCAACUGCUGCAGUUACAUUUCUUCUGUUUGGUAAUAUGAAGCUGAUAGUUGUAUUUAUGAAUUUUGUCACCUCUUCAGAUAGAGUGGUGAGGUUACCUUCACUAAACAUAAAAUAAUUGUAUAAAUUUAUUAAUUAUUUAAAUUUACUAUUUAUAAAUAAAUAAGUAGAUAUAUAUAAUAUUUUUAUAUUUUUCAAUAAUUCUUCAACUUAUUAAUCGACACAUUUAAAAUUUUUAAUUUAUUUAAUUUUAAUAUGUAAAUCAAACUUUAAAAAUUUAAACGAUUCUCUCAUUUUUUUUUUAUCAAAUUUAAUAAUUAUAAUUAAUUAAAACUUAUUAAAUUAACAUACACGAUCACAUUCUAUAAAAAUUUAGGGAAAAAAAACUAUAUUUAUAUUUUAAAUAAAAUAAAUUUAAAAAAAUUAAUUUUUUGCACAAAGCUUGUAUUGUCUAAAAAAUUUUAUUAGUAUGAGUUUAUUUAUAAGUAUUUUUAUUUACCUAUAUACAUAUAUUAUUUAUUUAUUUAGCUAUUUAUUUAUUUAUUUAUUAUUGUUAAUUUGUUGGUGAUCCUAUCCCUCACCAACUGCUGCAGUUGAAACUACGACCAAUUUGGAUGUAGUUCCAACUGCAGCAUUUGGGUCUUCUUGUGCAGUUGGAACUGCAGUAGUUGAACUCAAUUACACUAAACCAAACAAAAAAAUUGUGGCUGCACGCAUUUGCAACUGCACUACAGUUGCAAAUGCGUACAACCAAACAGCCCCUAAAUGAAUUGAUUACGUAUUUCUAAACUCGAGCUUUUGGGAUUAAUAAUUAGUGCCAAUGAUUCGACAAGUGGUAUCAGAGCCAGAGGUCACAGGUUCGAUUCCUAUGCUGGAGGGGGGAUUGUUGGCAUCCUAUCCUGUGGUGUGAGAAAAUUUAAAGAAGUAUAGCACUUAACUUGGCUCUUCUAGUAUUUAAUUUGUUGCUAUUUCUUGCACAUAUUGUACAUCCUGUCCUGUGGUGUUAGAUAACUACCAAUAUUCUCAUUUUAUUUAAAAAUAAUGAGAAGAAAAAAAUUAAUUAGUAAAUACUAAGCGACCUAUUUUAUAAAAUUAUCUAAUUUGAAGAAAAAAAAUAUUACUCAUUUUCACUAUUUCUAACUAUAUAAGGCUAUAUAUACCAAUGCAACUUAUGCAUAACAUAUUGAUGAAAUAGUAAAAAAGCUGGAUUAAGUGAUAUAACUUUAAAUCUUUAGAAGGCAAAAUAAAAUUUUUUAAAAGAUUAAGAGAUAAGAUAAAAAAAGGAAUAUUUAUGUUUAAAUUUUUCAGCAUUUUUGCCGUAAAAAAGUAGUGGUAAAAACGCCCACAAUUUAUCUUAAUUGUGGACUAUUUUAAGUUCACUAUCCAACCUUUGAAUUUUUUUUAUUUGAAUUAAUUAUUCAAUUGCAUUUUUAUUCUAAAAUUUGAACGCAUCGAUCAUUUAUCUCUACAGAUUAUUUAAUAUACUAUAUGUAAUUCUUGUAAUUAUAAACUAAUUAAAAUAAAAAUUAGCUUAAAUUUUAAAGUUAAAAUAUUAUUAUUGAGAAUUAAAAAUUAAAUAAAAAUUAAAAAAGAAGUUGAACUCUUUUGUUUUUUAAACCAAAAUUCUUAUAUUAAUUGGAUACGCCAAAAUAAAUUAUUGAUGAUUCGAUGUGAUUUGCUGCACCUCUACAAUGUUAACACCCCGACCGUGAAUCACGUGGUUUGAUGUACUCGACACACCAAUCAAUUUUUCUGAGUUAAUAAUAAAUAAUAAAUUUCCACUAACGUUAUGAACGAGUAGUUGGCUAUUCUUUUUUUAAAAAAAGUGGGUGGCCAAUUUUUGUACCAUUAUUUUUUAGGUUAGUUGCGUAAUUAAGCUAAAAGAUAUUAAUUUUUUUUAGCUUAAUGCUAAGAGGUUCUAUUGUCUUUUAAUUCUUUUAUUAAUUUUUUGGAAUAUCUCUUUAUGUUAUUAUUAUUAUUAGGGAAAACUUCAAAAACCCCCCUGUGGUUUCACACUUUUUCAUUUUAGUACCCUGUGGUUUGAAGUGUAUCAAGUUAGUACCCUGUGGUUUCUCACUUUAUCACUUUAGUACCCUGUGGUUUAAAAUGUAUCAAGCUAAUACCCUGUGGUUUUGCACUUUAUCACUUUAGUACCCUGUGGUUUCACACUUUAUCACUUUAGUACCUUGUGAUUUAAAAAACUAUAGGGUACUAACUUGAUACAAAAUUAAAACCACAGGGUACUAAAGUGAUAAAGUGCAAAACCACAAGGUACUAACUUGAUACACUUUAAACCACAGGGUACUUAAGUGAUAAAGUGAGAAACCACGGGUACUAACUUGAUACAUUUUAAACCACAGGGUAUUAAAAUGAAAAAAAUUGAAACCACAAAGGGGGUUUUUGAAGUUUUCCCUUAUUAUUAUUCUAAUGAAUCCUCUGUAUCAUUAUAAGCCAGUGUUUCUCCCAUUCUCUCACUACUUGCUCUUAAUUUAGUCCUCCUUAAUGCCCCUCUUCCAGCAAGAAGAAUCAACCUUUGGGAAUAUGGCUUAAUUUUGUGAAAGAUUCCCGGAUCUCUCGCAAAAAAUGAACAUUAUUGAGACACAUUAAUUUGGUUCCGGAUUCCUAUAAUCAUUGAUAUUGGCCCCAUCUAACAAUACUAGGUAGAAUAAAAUUAGAGCAGAUAAAUAUAGAAUAUAUUUAUAUAUUUUUCGAUGAAACCACGAAAAGUAUAUCAUUAGUUAUUUAUUAUGAUAUAUGAAACACAAUAUUACAAACCAAAAAUAAUCAAAAAAAAAAAAAAAAAUUUACCGUACUUUCUCACUCACCACACAUAGAUUACUUUUCUAUUGGUCUAUUUAGUAGCUAGGACUGUUGAUGCACCUCGAGUACUUCAAAUGCACGAUUUUUGUAAAAUUUUUUGAUUUGUGUAUAAUUCUUUCACAUUAUAAAUGUCAAUACGUCAACAACAGUAUUAUUAUUAUUUUUUUUUUUAAGUUCGGAGAGACACUGGAGCACAGCAGUCCGUACUCAUUCGACACCACUUGCACAUGUGCACAAAAUAAGCUCUAAGUCUGAUCUAUUAAUGUGCAAAUACAGCUUUAUGUAUGGCAAUUUCCAAAUUUCUGGGAGAAGAACAAACGGUCAAACUGAAUCCGCUGAAUCCAAACAGAGACGGGGUAAAUAAAGAGAAACAACAACAAGAACAAUGUCGCCAAAACAUUUCUUUUCCAAAACAUUUAUUUUCUUCUCUUUUUUUUUUUCCAGUAUAGAAAAGUUCAAAUCAUAAGUAUAAUAAUAUAUAAUGCGCGCGUCCUCUCGGAUAAACAUCAAUUGCCAUAAGUAGGAAACACUAACAUUCGAAAACAAUCAAGAGAAACUAGAGUACCGAGCUCUUGUAGGCAAUCGCACUUUGUAGAUAAAAAUAGGAAAAGAGCAAUACAAACCUGGGAUUACAGAGCACAAAUGAUAUUUGUACGAGAAAACAGCUCAGCUUGGAAACAGUCUGAACAUUUGAACGAGCGAGCGAGCGAGCGAGCGAGCUUAGGACCGAUGCUGCUGAUACCCCGCAUUACAGAGAGGGAGGGUCUUUCUUACGUACGUACGUACAGAGGAGGAGGAGGAGGAGGAGGAGGAGCAGAGCAAGUGAUGAUUAUUAUUUCUGUACAAAUUAAAACAGGGGAGGCAGGAGGAGGAGGAGGAGGAGGAGGAGGAGGAGGGAGUAAUUGUGUUGUGGUGUUGUGGAUCAAUGGAGGUCGUAGAUGUUGGGGUCGGCGGCGUAGGAACCGAGGAUGCGGACGAAGACGGAGAAGCGGGAGAUGUCGUCGAUGGCGUCGCGGACGUUGGGGUCGUGGGCGGAGCCCUCGCAGUCGACGUAGAGGACGUGGGGGAAGGCGCGGAGGGAGCCGCGGCCGCGCACGUCGAGGAUCAUGACGGGGGCGGCGCCCUCGGCGGGCGAGUUGAUCACCUCCAGCUUGGUCAGGUUGAUGUUGCGCCUGGAGAAGGCGGACAGCACCCUCAGCAGCACCACCAUCGACCCCCCGCGGUGGGCGAUCACCAUGCUCGUCUUCUUCUUCUUGCUGCUCUUGUUGUUGUUGUUGUUGUUGUUGUUGUUGCUCCCGUCGCAGCGGUGGUGAUCAUGAUCAUGGUGGUGGUCGUCUUUGGAGAGCAUGAGGAAGCGGGUGACGUUCCAGGACUCGUCCUGGAGGCCGUGGGCGAGGACGUCGAGGCCGUAGAGGAGGGCGGCGCGGGGGCUGGCGAUGGCGGCGGUGUCGAGGAGGCGGCGGGAGCGGAGCAUCUCGACGGCGCCGGCGGUGUCCUCGACGGGCUCGCGGCGGAGGCCGAGGAGGGAGAGGGCGCGGCCGCAGUGGGCGAGGGCCAUCGGGUGGCUGAUCACGCGCCGGAGCUCGGCGGGGCGCACCCCGGGCAUGGCCAGCAGGCAGUAAUGCACGAACAGGCUGAUCUCCCGCACGAUCCGCAGGUCGUGCCGGAGCAGCAGGUCGUAGUUCCGCAGCGCCGUCCCCUCCAUCGUGCUUUCCACCGGCACGAUCGCCCGGUCCGCCGCCCCCCGCUCCACCGCCGCGAUCGCGUCCGCGAACGCCCGGCACGGCACCGUCUCGCACUCCGGGAACGCCGUCUUCGCCGCGAACUCGCUGUACGCGCCCCGCGCCCCCUGGAACGCCACGCGCAGCCGCUCCAUCUGCGCCGCCUCCGCCGCCCACCCGUCGAUCCCCGGCGCUGACGCCGCCGCCGACCCGUUGAUCCCCGGCGCCGCCGCCGACCCAUUGAUCCCCGGCGCCGCCGCGGCCACCACCGCCGCCGCCAUGUGCGAGGCUUUGCGAGAUCUACCGGAGCCGAAGAGGAAGACCUGCCGCUGCUGGUGGUGCAGCUUCUUCUCCCCGUUCCACCCCGCUGCCGCCGCGGCGGUGGCGGUGGAGAAGGGAUUGGGGAGAGCGCACGCCAUGGCGAUGGCGAAUUUUGGGGGGAUUUUGGGGAGAAGAAGAAGAAGAAGAAGAAGAAGAAGAAGAAGAAGAAGGGGGAUGAUGGAGAGAAUGGUGGUUGCGUUUGGGCGACUUUGGGGAAUUGUUUAAUAAGGCGACUCCGCGGGUAUAAAGGACAAAGAAGAGGGGUUCGGAAGAUGAAAAGGUGCGGGGUUAUUAUUUUGACGAUUUUGCCCCUGACUGAAUUUUAUACUGCCACACUUGCACCACGUCAAUAAUAACAAGCCAAUCACAUUUCUUCAUUUCAAAUUAAAGUAUGAUAAAAAUAUUUUUUAUAAUUAUGAUUGGACAUAUAUUUUUAAAGAAGAUAUUUGAUUGGUGUUACGUUACGUCACUAAUAUAGCCGUUAUAUUCUAGAAUUUUUCGUGGAUUGGUGGGUGACUUG
rnacentral:lncRNA from 1 species